CUAGAAAACAGCGAUGGUGAAUUAGAAUCACUUACAGAAUUGAGCGAUUAGUGAUUCAUGGGAAAAUUCAUCAACACUGUAAGUGACGACAGCGACGAUUCUGCGACUGAGCUCAGUGAUAUGCAAACUUGGUGCUCUAUUGACUGUGGUAUGGAUCAGGCAGCGCCCCCAAGAUUACCAUUUGCUGAACCAUCUGGUAUGAAAGACAUUGAACACCACAACCCCCUGGCAAACUAACAAUUAUUUCUGACCCGUGAGGUUAUUGGAAAACAUAUUGGCAAAAAUAGUUACUGAGACAAACCGGUUCAAAGAGCAACAAUUAGCUACUCUGCAUGGGAAGUUUUCAAGAAGCCGAAAGUGGGAACCAGUGAC